UACGGGGGGAGCAAGCGUUGUUCGGAUUUACUGGGCGUAAAGGGCGCGUAGGCGGUCAGCACAAGUCAGUUGUGAAAUCUCCGGGCUUAACUCGGAAAGGUCAACUGAUACUGUGCGACUAGAGUGCGGAAGGGGCAACUGGAAUUCUUGGUGUAGCGGUGAAAUGCGUAGAUAUCUGGAGGAACACCGGUGGCGAAGGCGGGUCUCUGGGCCGAUACUGACGCUGAGGAGCGAAGCGUGGGAGCGAACAGGAAUAGAACCCAGUAGGGUC
rnacentral:rRNA from 1 species